AAAAGUCGUGCACGCCAGGGUGUGUCCUCUCACAUAAAAUCCAUCUCACCCUUUUGUGCACCACCGCGUGGGCACCCUUCGGGGUCGAACAGAUCCAGGAGGGGGCUUGCGUUUUCACACAAACCCCUUUUUAAAAGUGUAGAAUGACCCCACUUUUGCGAUAACACGCAAUCAAUACAACUUUCAACAACGGAUCUCUUGGCUCUCGCAUCGAUGAAGAACGCAGCGAAAUGCGAUACGUAAUGUGAAUUGCAGAAUUCAGUGAAUCAUCGAAUCUUUGAACGCACCUUGCGCCCCUUGGUAUUCCGAGGGGCACACCCGUUUGAGUGUCGUGAAAAUCUCAACCUUCUCGGUUUCUUCUGAACACCGAAGGAGGCUUGGACUUUGGAGGCCUUUGCUGGUGUCUCUCACCAGCUCCUCUCAAAUGAAUUAGCGGGGUCCUCUUUGCCGAUCCUCGACAUGUGAUAAGAUGUUUCCAUGUCUUGGCUUUAUGGCUCUGUUGCCUUUGGGACCCGCUUCUAACCGUCUCAGCGAGACAACGUUCGAGCGUGUCUCCCCUCUCGGGGAAACACUCUUGAACC
rnacentral:rRNA from 1 species